AGCGAACAUUGGCGGUAGGCUUAACACAUGCAAGUCGAGCGAGGCGUAAUAGUCGAGCGGCGAACGGGUGCGUAAUACAUGGGAAUCUACCUCGAAGUGGGGGAUAACGUUCAGAAAUGGACGCUAAUACCGCAUAAUCCAUAUUGGGAAAGCGUUGCAGCGCUUUGAGAUGAGCCCAUGGCUGAUUAGCUAGUUGGUGAGGUAAUGGCUCACCAAGGCGACGAUCAGUAGCUGGUCUGAGAGGAUGACCAGCCACACUGGAACUGAGACACGGUCCAGACUCCUACGGGAGGCAGCAGUGGGGAAUCUUGCGCAAUGGGGGCAACCCUGACGCAGCCAUACCGCGUGAGUGAUGAAGGUCUUCGGAUUGUAAAGCUCUUUCGGCGGGGACGACGAUGACGGUACCCGCAAAAGAAGUCACGGCUAACUUCGUGCCAGCAGCCGCCGUAA
rnacentral:rRNA from 1 species